GGCGACCUUGCCACGUCAGUCAUCGAUCCUUAUGCAUGUCACCUCCUAGAACCCCCGUCGUCUCCUCCCCUCGGCGCCACCAUCUCCGGUCCCCAACUCCUCCGUCCUCGGUGUCCAAUCAAAGGUUGCCGCCGGCGACCACCGGCGGACUUUCUAGCCACCGCCUCUCUGCCACAACAACGUCCACAUCCAGGUAUAUUUUUAUUCCCAGAUCCUUUU
rnacentral:misc_RNA from 1 species